CCCUUAGAUGUCCGGGGCUGCACGCGCGCUACACUGAAGGAAUCAGCGUGCUAAAACCAUUGUCGAAAGGCAUUGGUAAACCCAUUAAAAUCCUACGUGAUUGGGAUAGGGAAUUGCAAUUAUUUCCCUUGAACGAGGAAUUCCCAGUAAGUGUGGGUCAUAAGCUCGCGUUGAUUACGUCCCUGCCCUUUGUACACACCGCCCGUCGCUGCCCGGGACUGAGCCGUUUCGAGAAAAGCGGGGACUGCUGCUGUCGGGGCUUUCGGGCCUUGGCUUCGGUGGAAACCGCUUUAAUCGCAGUGGCUUGAACCGGGCAAAAGUCGUAACA
rnacentral:rRNA from 1 species